GAAAGAAAGAGGAAAAAAGUUAACAUCACAGCAUAAACCAGCAUGAUAAACAAAUGAUGGGAAGCAUAUCAAGGAGGUUCAGUAAAAUUUGAAGGAAUUCAGGAUGAGUUGUAACAGUGAUUACUUUCUUAGAGACAGGUCAUGAGUUAUUUCUAUCUGUUUUUAGGUAGUGAGAACUAAAAGUUUAUAGCAGACUCUUUUAUGUAUUCUUCAAAGUAUAUAAGGUGUGUUGUACCAAUGUAAUCUUCAUAAUAAUAUGGGAUCUGUUCAUACAUGGAAUCAUCCCCGGGUCUGUGUUCAGUUAUUUGCAAUAAAUUCAUUUGCUGUUUUUAAAGUCCACGUUAAAGUAGCCUUUCAUGUUAGUUUAGAAAGUUACUUUCUUGCUGGACCAAAAUGGGAUCCGUGAAAACAAGAACAAGAACAUGUUGCAUCCGUGAAAACAAGAACAGUGGGACAAAACAGAAACCAAAAACCACUGAGACUUCCCUGAAAGAUCCUGAUCACAAGAUUUCAGAACAAAGAAGUUAUGACACAGUGUCUUCUUCCUGGGAAUUUACUAGAAACAUGUUUCUUCAGAAGCAGAAGAGAUUGUCAAAAAAUUGCCUUGGAAUUACCGUCAUGUCUUCACUAUAUAGAGGUAUCUCUGAAGAGCAUGUUUGGUAUGGAGGAGUAAGAAAGUAACAGACAGUAGCUGAUUCUUUAUAUUACUUGGAGCCUAAGAGACAUCAUGAAAAAUUUCUUUUAGGUCUGCAUUGACAAGUCAAUCCUAAGCCAAAAGAACAAAGCUGGAGGCAUCAUGCUACCUGACUUCUAACUAUACUACAAGGUUACAGUAACCAAAACAGCAUGGUACUGGUACCAAAACAGAGAUAUAGACCAAUGGAACAGAACAGAGGCCUCAGAAAUAAUACCACACAUCUACAACUACCUGAUCUUUCACAAACCUGGCAAAAACAAGAAAUGGGGAAAGGAUUCCCUAUUUAAUAAAUGGUGCUGGGGAAACUGGCUAGCCAUAUGUAGAAAGCUGAAACUGGAUCCCUUCCUUACACCGUAUACAAAAAUUAAUUCAAGAUAGAUUAAAGACUUAAAUGUUAGACCUAAAACCAUAAAAACCCUAGAAGAAAACCUAGG
rnacentral:lncRNA from 1 species